rnacentral:rRNA from 1 species
CAUGCAGUCGAACGAUGAUGCUAGCUUGCUAGCGGAUUAGUGGCGAACGGGUGAGUAACACGUGAGUAACCUGCCCUUGACUCUGGGAUAAGCGUUGGAAACGACGUCUAAUACCGGAUACGACNACUCAUCGCAUGUUCUGGUUGUGGAAAGAUUUUUUGGUCAAGGAUGGACUCGCGGCCUAUCAGGUUGUUGGUGAGGUAAUGGCUCACCAAGCCUACGACGGGUAGCCGGCCUGAGAGGGUGACCGGCCACACUGGGACUGAGACACGGCCCAGACUCCUACGGGAGGCAGCAGUGGGGAAUAUUGCACAAUGGGCGAAAGCCUGAUGCAGCAACGCCGCGUGAGGGAUGACGGCCUUCGGGUUGUAAACCUCUUUUAGUAAGGAAGAAGAACUUCGGUUUGACGGUACUUGCAGAAAAAGCACCGGCUAACUACGUGCCAGCAGCCGCGGUAAUACGUAGGGUGCAAGCGUUGUCCGGAAUUAUUGGGCGUAAAGAGCUCGUAGGCGGUUUGUCGCGUCUGCUGUGAAAACCGGAGGCUCAACCUCCGGCCUGCAGUGGGUACGGGCAGACUAGAGUGCGGUAGGGGAGAUUGGAAUUCCUGGUGUAGCGGUGGAAUGCGCAGAUAUCAGGAGGAACACCGAUGGCGAAGGCAGAUCUCUGGGCCGUAACUGACGCUGAGGAGCGAAAGCAUGGGGAGCGAC